CACACACACACAAACCUCUCUCCCACUCAUUUCUCUCUCACUCUCACAUCCCAUCUCAUCUCUCUUUUAUUUCUAUAAAAGAUAAUAUAUAAUACCAAAUAUAAAAUCAUCUCCCACCUUUUAUUAUACAACACGUUAUCAGCACGAAGCUCAGACCAACUGAAGUUUAUCAAUCCGAAAGUUCUUAAACCAGUAGAGGUAAUGUUUAAAUUUAUGUAUUUCAAUAUAUUUAAUUUAUUUAAAUUUUAUUAUUAUUUCGGAGUGAGAGGCUGGACCUUCUCCGUUUAUUUUUCGGGAUGAUAUGCGCUGUCUUUCCCGACUGAUCGUUAUGGUAAGCUAUGCCUUCACGAUCAGAGAAACACGUGGUAGGCUUUGCCUCCGUGAAUAAAAAUAAAAGGUCAAAAAUGGUAGACUAAGUCUCCUCGGACCUUGAAAUAAGUAAAAGUCAAAAUGGUAGACCAUGUCUCCUCGGACUUUGAAAAAUGAUCAAUAUGGUAGUCUAUUACUCCUCGGAUCAUGUGGUAGGCUAACUCCCGAUUUCAUUUAUGCUAUUUAAAUUCCUGCAAUUUAAAUUUCUGCAAUUUAAGUUUAUGCUUUUAUUUUAUGCCUUUAAUUUCUGCAUUUAAAUUAUGCAUUUCAAUUUCCGUCUUUAUAUAUUAUUAUUCUAUGAAUUCGGUUAUCAUAUCAAAUUUGACAAAGCUCAAAAUAAAUGCCCUUGAUAUUACGGGAAAUAGUUAUAUGACCUGGGCAGUGGGUGCAAAGAUGCACCUGAGAGAAAAUGAGCUUUGAGAAAUCAUCGAUAAGUUGAAACUAUAUCGGAUGAGAAAAAGAUAAAGCCAUGAUAAUUUACACCACUUUAAUGAUGGUUUAUAAGAUAAAGUGUAUCAUGAGAAAGAUCUAGAAGAUCUUUGAAUAAUCAAAUCCUUGAAAGAAAGGAUUCACCAAAUUGUUGGAGUUGAUGUAAAUCCUCCGUGAGAAUUGAAAAGAAAAGAAACUCAUGAUACUAAACCAUCAAGUCGGUCCUUCUUGAAAAGGAAAAGGGUGUGGAUGCGGUUGAAACCGCUAUCGUGGUCGUGGAAGAGGACGAGGAAGAAGAUUCUGUCCUUAUGAGAAUAAUGGAAACUUCCACGAAAAAUGAAAGUGGUCGGGUGAUAAAAGGCAAACAGAAAAGGUUUGCUAUAGAUACGGCCAGAAAGAAAAUUGGGUACGUAAUUUUCGUACGCCAAAUAUUUAGCCGAUCUAUAUCGAGAUUCAAAAAGAAAAAGAGAAAGGAAGUGAAAUAAACUUCAUCUCUUAUGAGCCCGGACCAUCUUUUCAUAGCUUGAAUACUCAUCUUGAUGAUUCAGUUUUUCUGGUUGGUCCAGAAAAUGAAAAUAAAAUAACGAUGUGAUAUGAGAAUUAUCUUCCUGAAUAAGAUUUUGAGAUUCAGGAUGAAGAAAAAUAUACCUGACAGGUAUUGGGUCAUCGUCAUGACUACUAAAGGUAACAAAUAUCUUUUCUUUUUCAAAUUAAAUAAGUAUAGUAUCUAGUAAUAUAAACAUAUUAUUGGCUCUAGAAGAGCUUAUGAUAAAAAGACAUGCAUAAGAAAAAGAUGGAAAAAUUAUAAAUGAGUGGUAAACCUGAAGUUUACUGAUAUAUAGCCAUCUCCAAUAAUGUUAUCGACAUUAUAGUGAAAUGUUGAAAAACCAGAAGUUUUUCACAUAUAGCAUGUCAAAAAAAUAAAGGAAACCAUCAUGGGUGAUGAAUCAUCAAACAAGUUCACAAUAUGUGAUUUCUUUAAGUCGACCCCAAAUUAAGAUCUCACUCUAAAGGAUUUGAAACAUAAUUCAUCCCAAAUGGGAAAACUGAAUAUGUUAUUGGUUCUAGAGUGGGAUUCAUUUCAAGAUUUUAGACAUGGAAUGUCACCAUCUCGAGGAGGAGAAUUAAAGAAUCCUAGUGAGUGGAACAUUGAGAAAUUAUGUUCGCACUUGAAAAAGAACUUGAUAAAGUAAACUCAAGUAAGAUGAUCCCCAUGAUCGGGUGUAAACAUGCAGUUGUGCAUGUAAUAAAGACAUAUACAAUCCAGAGGGAUAAAGUAUAUGGAUAAUUAGAAAUAUGCUCGCAAGUUUGCUAGAAGCAUAUGAUAAGCUGAUGGAAUGAGAUAUGUGAAAUGGAUUACAAUGAAAAGUAGAAUAAUCCAUUUACAAAAUGCCUGCCAGACAUUUUGAUGCAAAAAUGAUAUCUCAUAUUCCAGCUGAAAAUGCUCCAAUAAGAAAAUAGUGUCCUAAACGGACGAUAUAUGAGUCUAUGACACGCUAGAGACGUGAUAGACCACUUUGGUUCUAAAGAGUCCUCGAAAUGGAGCAAAAAUAUAAAUAGAGGAUGAAUCUGAUGAUGAGACCGUUGAUAUGGUUAAUAUAACAGUCAGGUACCUGGGUAAAUCAUCGAUGAUGAUAAAGAGAUCUCGAUUAACCAUAUCAGUACGGGUAAAAAGAUAGAACCAAAGAGAAAAUAGAUUGUCGACAAUAAUGAAAAAGCGCUAUAUUAUAUAAAAAUAAAGAUUAUGAAUCUACCUCUAUGUAUGAGGGUAGAGUGAAUUGAUUGGCCAUCAAUUCGAUAUAAAGCUCGUUAGAAUAACGAGAGAUUUUUGGAACAAAAGUCCAAGGUAUAUAUUUCUCCAGAGAAUGAAAUGAAAGAUGACCUUGAGGUAUGAAAACGGCUUGUUCCGAGGUCACUGGAGAAAAUUUAAAAUAGAUGCAAUAUAUUGAAAUGUCUGGCAGGACAAAAACGACUUGAGUUGCAUCUUGAUAUUUUAGAAGUCCCUGGAGAGUUAAAGAUGCUCUCGGGAAUGUAUAAAACUCUGGAAGAGUUAGAACAAACCGUAUAUAAGGUAUCUUGAACCGGUAACUGGUGAUAUGUUUACGACACGAUUUGCCGAUUGCCAUUUUAAUGAGGAUGAAUUUCUAGCGUUAGGGGGAGGAAUUUGAGAAUACAUGGUGUACAUAGUCGUUGUUACACCUUGAUCCCCCUACGAAUCAAAGAGAGCUGGAAAUUCAAGAAAAUGUGCAUUUGCAUAAUUUGGCAAACCAGUUACCAGAUGUGUUCACAGAUACGACAUGAUAUACCCGCUGAAAAUGUUCCAUCAAGAGUUGAUGUUCCUAAAGAACAAAGUGAUGGUAACAAAAUAAAUGAACCUAGGGUUCAGUUAAAGAGGGGGAGACUAGCGGGUUCUAGAGAUAAAAAUCCCCGAAAGAAAUUGGUUGAGAAAAGUUGCAAGGUUCCUGAAGAACCUGAUACUGAAAAAUGUCUGAAAGAAGACAUAAGUGGAAAGGUUCAAAGAGAACCUGAUACUGAAAGAUGUCUGAAAGAAGGCAUAAGUGGAAAUGUUCCAGAAGAACCUGAUACUAAAAAAUGUCUGAAAGAAGGCAUAGAUGAAAAGGGUCAAGAUGAACCAAAUAAAGAUGAUCCAGAUGACGAAAAGGGAACAGAAAAGUAUGAGAUUUCCACCAACUACACCCUUGAUGAAAAAGUUAUAAGAUAAAAGAUGUUGAUGGAAUGUUCUCCUUUUCUGUCCAAAGAGAUCGAUCAUAAAAGUGAUGAUCCCAAUCCAAGGUCCAUUUUGGAAUGUUAAAAAGACAUGAUUGGGAGGAGUGGCAGAAGGCCAUUCAAAUUGAAUUAUUCUCCCUGAAUAAAAGAAAUGUCUUUGGACCUAUAGUCAUAAAGCCUGAGAAUAUAAAUCUUGUUGGGUAUAAGUGGGUAUUCGUGAGAAAAGUAACACGAUAUAAAACCUGAUUAGUUGCCCAAAGAUUUUCUCAGAGACCGGGAAUUGAUUUUGAGGAAAUGUAUUCUCCAGUAAUGGAUGCAAUUAUGUUUAGAUUUUUGAUGAGCCUAAUGGCAUCUAAAAAAUCUAGAAAUGCAUCUUAUAGACGUUUUGACUACAUAUUGGAUAACGAUAUAUAUAUGAAACUCCCUGAGGGAUUGAAAAUGCCAGGGGCAUUGAAAGAAAAAUCCAGGGAGAUUUGUUCGGUCAAGUUACAGCGAUCACUUUACGGAUUAUAGCAAUCCGGACGCUUGUGGUACAAUCGCUUAAGUGAAUAUCUUUUGAUAAAGGAUAUGUUAAUGAUGCGAUAUGUCCAUGCAUUUUUAUAAAGAAAACGUCAUCUGGCUUUGUGAUCAUUGCUGUAUAUGUAGAUGACCUGAACAUAAUUGGAAAUCAAAAGGAGGUUGAUGAUGCUCGAACUCAUAUGAAAGAAGAGUUCGAAAUGAAAGAUCUUGGAAAGACAAAGUUUUGUCUUGGGCUCCAGAUAGAGCAUCUCCGAGAGGGAAUAUUUGUGCAUCAAUAAAACUAUACAAAAAGGUUAUUGAAACACUUUUGUAUGAAGAAAGCGACUCCUUUAAGUACUUCAAUGGUAAAUUGAUCUCUCGAUGUUGAAAGAGAUGUUUAAAAGAUCCUGGUAAGAUCUUAUAUAAAUAAGUACUUUGGAGAUGCUAAUGGUAAUAAAGCAUAUGUGAGCAUAUAUAUCUUGCGAGUUGUAUUUGAUUAAAUAUACUUUUAGACACUAAUGUCUUUGCAAGAUCCUGCUCAUUUCCUAUUCAUGGAAAUUAGAACGGCGUCGAGAAUAUCCGUUCUCUCCAAGGUAUGUUUUAAAUUAGGGUUGAUGUAUUCUAGAAAACCCGAGUUUGGUAUGGUUUUGCAGAUACAUGCUAUUUAUAAAGUCGAACACAAACUGGAUAUGGUUUUACAAUUGGUGAAACCGCGAUUACAUAGCGUUCCGAGAAACGAUCCUAGGUUUCGACUUCUUCAAAGCAUGUCGAGAAUAUGUGUGACAUCGGUCAAUAAGUCACCACAUAUAAGAAUUAAGCGGAAUAGUCAACGAGAAAGAGCCGACGAAAACAUUUGAAGAUAAUUCGGCUUGCGUCGCUUAACUCAAAUAAGGUUACAUUAAGAGUGACAGAACGAAGCAUAUCCCUCCAAGAUUCUUCUCGUACAUAAGGGAGCUCGAGAAAAAUAAAAAGGUGGACAUCGAAUAUGUACGGUCAUGCGACAAUCCGGCAGACUUGUUUACAAAGGUUCUUCCUACUACAACAUUCCGAAAACACGUGUAUGGUAUCAGAAUGCGGUAUUUGCUUGACCUGUGAAGAGAAAGCUAUGCCCACUAUUCCCAGGGGGAGAUUACGGCAGUGUACUCUUUUUCCGUCGUCAUGGUUUUUAUCCCAAUGGGUUUUUCCAUGACUAUGUUUUUAACGAGGCACUACGUAAUAUGAGAUGGAUAAUCAAGGGGGAGUGUUAGAUAAUGAUCAUCCAUCUCAUGAAGACAUCUGUUUCAUGACUAAUAUUGUAUUUGUCAUUGUCACUAGUACACAUGUCAUUCUGUGUAUACUGUUUCAUCUCCUAUAAAUAGGGAGUGUGUAGACCAAAAAUAAGAAUGAGUUUUGUACAACAUCUCUCUCGUAUUACACACACACACAAACCUCUCUCCCACUCUCACAUCCCAUCUCAUCUCUCUUUUAUUUCUAUAAAAGAUAAUAUAUAAUACCAAAUAUAAAAUCAUCUCCCACCUUUUAUUAUACAACAAUUCCCUAAUAGCCAUGCGGGUUCGGUUCAUCCAGUUAAUUUGGUUGGGGUAGUGUGGUUUCUGAUAAUUCUAUUGAGUUUAAACGAGUAUUUGUUUUUGGUAAUAUUUUGUUUAAAUUAAUUUGGUUAGUUCUAAAUAAAUUCAAUUAUUUUUUAUUUGAAAUUUUGGUUAGUUCGGAAUUUAGUUAAAACUAAAUAAAUUUGAAAACCGAACUAAUCGAAUAUUAUACCAAACAUCAAUCAAUAUUAUUAAAACUAAAGUACAAAUAUGAAGUAACCCUUAAAAUUACAUUUUAAUUACACCUAAUGCCGUUCUCAUUUUUUAUUUUACCCAAAAUUAACUUUACUAAAUCAAGUAACAAAUAUCAGUUUCCUUAAAAAAUGUAUUUGUUACACCAAAUUCCCUAAAAUUAUGCUUAUGUCAAUCUUUCAUUUCCUAAAAUAAAAUAUUACAUAUCAUUUUCAAAAAGCUUUUAAUGGUGUCAAACAUUUAGCCAUAUAAAAUUCUUUGGAUUUAUGUUCUCCAAUUGGUCAAGCAGUUAAUUAAACCAAACGUAGAUAUAUUAUUGUUCAGAUGAAAUCAUUUGCAUACUUUCUUUCAAUCCAUCUGAGCGCUUUGUUCCUAGCAUGUUGGCAUUGCGGCCUACUAACACUGAGCUUCCACUUCUCCAUAACCAACUCCUCAAUCUUCAUGGGCAUGAAAUACUCUGGCUUUUCUCUGAUCUUGUAAACAAACAAGCGAGCUAUUUGUGGAACUUUGAGCAUCUCACAAGUACCCGUAGGAACACAGGUAUGAUCCUUCUUCAAUAUCUUCACCUGCCAUUUGUUGGGAUACUUUGCUGAGGAUGAGCAGUAAAUGCGCCAAGAGCAACCUUUGCCUUCACCUACAAAGGCAAUCUUUGUCUUGUCAUAUCUAUUUUGCUUGAUGUUCAGACCCGUUUUCAGAGCAUAGUCGAGCACUGCUUCCUUAAAUGCAAUUCCACUGAUGAACACUUGCCCUACAUACAACUCCCCAUUGCCUCUCCUAAUAUCAUUGCGCCGCCUGUAGAUAGUCCUUUGAAGUUCUUCCCCCUCUUCAUCUUCAUCAUCUUCUGUCUCUGGAUACAAGUUAUGCUUCACUUAAGGUUCAUCAACAAAGUUGAAAGCUUCUUUCUCAAUGUUGUAGUCGUUGCGCUCUCUGCGAUCUUCUCCAUCGGAGUCAACAUCAGGAGAAUCGGUAAUCCCUGGGUCGAAAUCAGGUACAUCAUUCCACUCAACAUUCACGUUAGUCCAUGAUUCCAUUCUCGAUUCCUGCAAAACAGAGAAACACAGCGUCAGUACCAGAAAGAGAGAUAGACAAAGAGACAAUACAAUAACGAGAGAGAGAUAGAGAGAAAGCGAGAGAGAGAUAGAGAGUUAGAGAUAGAAUUCUCGAAAUUACUUCAGAGAGAACAAUCAGAGGAGCAACGAGGCGGAGGAGGAAGAGCAGCGACGUUCUUUGCGAGAGAGAAACAAAAGAUUUAUGUUUUCGGGUCUUGGGUCGGUUUAUUAGUUCCAAUUGGUAUUAGGUUGAUUUAAUCUGGUUUAUAUCUCUAAUCGGGUCGUAAGCGGGUCGUUUUUGGUUUACCUAAGUUAGCCAUUGGUUAACUUUAUGUUUUGGGAACACUAACCAACUUAAAACCGCUAUUUGUCGGUAUUAGUCCGUUUUUCAAAGUUUGUGUGGAAACGGGUUUCGAACUUUCAUAUUGUGUGGAAAUAGGUUGUUAUACUUAUAAAGUAGGCAAUUGGGACGAAGGUGAAAGAUUGUGUACAUUUAUUACUAUGUGAUAGUUAUGGUGGGGAAAUACGUCGUCUUCCCAUAUUAUUAAAACUAAAGUACAAAUAUGAAGUAACCCUUAAAUUUACAUUUUAAUUACAUCUAAUGCCAUUUUCAUUUUUUAUUUUACCCAAAAUUAACUUUACUAAAUCAAGUAACAAAUAUCAGUUUCCUUAAAAAAUGUAUUUGUUACACCAAAUUCCCUAAAAUUAUGUUUAUGUCAAUCUUUCAUUUCCUAAAAUAAAAUAUUACAUAUCAUUUUCAAAAAGCUUUUAAUGGUGUCAAACAUUUAGCCAUAUAAAAUUCUUUGGAUUUAUGUUCUCCAAUUGGUCAAGCGGUUAAUUAAACCAAACGUAGAUAUAUUAUUGUUCAGAUGAAAUCAUUUGAAAUGUGUUUUAACUUUUAGCCAUAUUUUCCACUUUGCAUAGAUGUUUAAAAAAAAACUUAGCAUAUGUACUGAUAAUUUCACAGUUAUAUCUUACUGUUGUUUAUAGAUUCAUACAUCAUACAUCUAUUAUUAUUUAUAUAGUUAACAGGUUCAUGCGUAAAUUUGAUUCAUGCAUAAACUUGAGGUCAUUGAAAAUAGAUCAUUAAACCAUACAUUUUUAGUAAAAAUACAUGUAUAUUUAAUUAUAUAAUUAUCAACCACUGUAUGUACACUGUUUUGAUACAUCAUACAAGUGUCAGUAUUGAUAUUUAUAUACUAUUGUUGAAAAAAUUACACAGUCUCUGAGAUAUCAAUUACGUGAAAAGACACACUUCGCUUUCUACACACUUCUUUCCAUUAGAAUGACUAACUUACCCCUUAACUUAUUCUGAAACAUAACGUGCGGCUACAAAAAUUCUCUUUACUCUCUCUUGGAUGAAUCUGAAACCUAGUGACUCCCACCUAAACUAUCUACAUCGAAUCUCUAAUCUUUUCUCUUCCACUCUUUUGGCCCUGUUUUUAUUUUCUCCAAUUUUUCUUUUCACCAUCAAUUGAUUAAUAUUAAAAUAAGAGAAGCAAUUUUAGUUGACGAUGGUGGUGGAGGAGGCGGAGGCUGUGGCGGCGGUAGCGGAGACUGUGGUGGAGGUGGAGGUGGUUAUGGAGGAGGCAGCGGAGGCCGUGGCGGCGGCAGUGGAGGCCUUGGUGGAGGUAGCGGUGUUUUCUGAUUCAAUUGCAAAAUUUUGUCUUUCUAAUUCAGAACUUUAGUUCUACUUAGCUCAUGUGUCUAAUGAAACGGAUCUCAAAAUAUGUCUUUUAAAAGUAGUGGAUACGAAGAUGGUAGAUAUGGUGGUGGUAGAGAUGGUUACUCGUGAGGAGAAGAUGGUGGUGGAUACAGUGGAGGUGGAAGACAGGAGAGAGAGAGUGAUAUAUGGAGGUGGAAGUGGCGGUGGAUACCGGAGUGAAGGUUGCAGUGGCUAUGGAUACAGUGGUGGUGACAGUGAGGGCGAUGGAUACUAGAGUGGAAGUUGUGGUGGUUACGGAUUUUGAUGGAGAUGGUUACUCGAGAGGAGAUGGUGGUAAAUACGGUGGAGGUGAUAGAUGGAAGAGUGGGUGAUACGGAGGUUGCGGUGGUGGAGAUGGUUACUCGACAGGAGGAGAUGGUGGUAAAUACGGUGGGGGUGAAAGAUGGAAGAGUGGGUGAUACGGAGGUUGCGGUGACUGUGGUUACAGUCAUUUAUAAUGUGGAGUAUAUAACACAUUCUCUCUCUUUGAUUCUUAACUUUAUUCAUGUCUUUUAGUUAUUGUAAGGAUAUUUGCGUCUCAAAAUUUUGUGUUCACACAAUAAGUGUCUCACCACAUGUCUUAUUGUAAGCAAAAGUCAAAAUGUGUGGUAAAAACACUAAAAGUUCAUUUAUGAUGCAAUAACUAAAUAUUUUCAAUUAAAAUAUAAAUAAUAUCAAUUUACACUA